rnacentral:rRNA from 1 species
CGUAACAAGGUUUCCGUAGGUGAACCUGCGGAAGGAUCAUUGUCGAAAC